AACGAACGCUGGCGGCAUGCCUAACACAUGCAAGUCGAACGAGACCUUCGGGUCUAGUGGCGCACGGGUGCGUAACGCGUGGGAACCUGCCCUUAGGUUCGGAAUAACUCCCCGAAAGGGGUGCUAAUACCGGAUAAUGUCUUAGGACCAAAGAUUUAUUGCGUUAGGAUGGGCACGCGUUGGAUUAGCUAGUUGGUAGGGUAAAAGCCUACCAAGGCGACGAUCCAUAGCUGGUAUGAGAGGAUGAUCAGCCACACUGGGACUGAGACACGGCCCAGACUCCUACGGGAUGCAGCAGUGGGGAAUAGUGGACAAUGGGCGAAAGCCUGAUCCAGCAAUGCCGCGUGAGUUAUGAAGGCCUUAGGGUUGUAAAGCUCUUUUACCCGGGAUGAUAAUGACAGUACCGGGAGAAUAAGCCCCGGCUAACUCCGUG
rnacentral:rRNA from 1 species